rnacentral:rRNA from 1 species
AUAUCUACCCACAAAGAUAUCCGCCAGAGAACUACAAGCCAAACGCUCAAAACUCAAAGGACUUGACGGUGCUUCAAACCCACCUAGAGGAGCCUGUUCUAUAAGCGAUAACCCACGAUAAACCUUACCAUCCCUUGCUCCCAGCCUAUAUACCGCCGUCUCCAGCUCACCUUAUGAAAGAAAAAAAGUAAGCUCAAUAGUCCAUACAACUAAAAAGUCAGGUCGAGGCGUAGCCAAUGAGAUGGAAGCAAUGGGCUACAUUUUCUAAAAUAGAAAUAGUCACGGAGAGAAUCCUGAAAAAAGGUCUCAAAAGUAGAAUUUAGCAGUAAUUUUGGAAUAGUGAGCCAAAAUUAAACAGGAAAUGAAGCACGUACACACCGCCCGUCACCCUCUGCA